CCUGUUCCGUGGCUACAGGCUGCAGGGGACAUGCAAGGGGACUGGUGAAGUCCCCACAGUUUCUGGGGGUUACAGUGGGCCCAGAGCCGCUCUCCUCCCCUCCAGAUUCCCGUCACACUGUUGGCCAGCUGUGGAUCCUCUCCUCCUUUGCCUAAGUUGGAGGAGACAAAGACAUCCCAGACUCCAUUUCCCAGAGAAGCGGAGAAUGAAUGGGUGCUGUAUGUUCACUGCCGGGUGUCCGAGAAGCUGCACAGGAAGUGUCUUAACGUGAAGAGAGUCCACACUGGACACCGGCACAAAGGGCAGAGUGAAGGGACGAAGUGUCAGAUGCGUCUCUGCCACCAGCACACGUUUCAGCGGUGCUAGAUUUGACUAGGCACAGGACUCUAAACUGGUGGUUUGCUGACUAUUAACCUCCACGGUAUUGCUAUCUCAUGCUCCUUGACCCCUUCCUAAUUUUGCUGUGGUUCGGCAGCUCCAGUCCACUGUUGAAAUGCUGGUAGAUUUCAAAACUCCGUUGGGACAUAUUAAAUUCUGGUGAGCCAGUGGGUGGGAUGCCUUCUGAAUGACAAAGGGGCCCCGUGGCUAAAAGCUGAAGGAAAUUCAUGCAAUGAUGAAUGUGCUGCAAUUAAUCACCAGAGAUCUGUUCUUUUCCUUAUAUGCGUAGUAUAGUGCAGGGUCCAGGGUUGGGGAGAGUCUCUGAGUCCAGAUCUUCAUAGAAUUAAAAAUAAUGAAUAUUUGUAAUCAGGCAUCGCUUGACCAACAACUCCGCCUCCUUAGUUGGAAAUACAGACGUCCACUUUUCGCUAGUGUGUAAUUAUUUUCUGGAAUGCUGAGAAUUGUUCCCCUGACCUAUGGCUCUUUUUUAAGCAUCUGGGAUAUGCAGUCAAUUUGCAGGUUGCUAUUUUGAAGUCAGGGAGCCUCAGAGAAUCGAAUAUAUGCCACAUAAGUUCCUGCAAGAUGGACUUUCUGGGAGUCCUCUGAUGAGGUUGGGAGAAGGCAAAGAGGAGAUGUUUCCAUGUAAAGGCUGAGCAAGCUCCAGGCCACUGCAGAAGUUCAGCUUUCUUCAGCUCUGUAAGCUGGACCCUGUGGCUGGAGUCUGGCCAACUGCAGGGACAAGUUUCUAUUAUUAUGUAAAUGGAGUCCCAGUGCGGCCUUGGAAGAGUUUUUGGCACAGGGUAACCCUUUGUCUGCCAAAAGGUAGCCUCUCCCUUUGCUUCAAGCCCAGAGUGUGCAUUUUGCAGUGGUGACCUGUAAGCCACCGGUCAACCUGCAGAUUGCCUUAUUAGGCAGACUGCGGAGGCUGGUGGCUGGGGACUGGCUGGCAGAGGCGGUGGCAGUGAGCUUGUGUCCUGUACGAAGCCGGAGAACCCCAGCCCCGGAGACGUG
rnacentral:lncRNA from 10 species